rnacentral:lncRNA from 1 species
UAGAAAAUCCUGUCACGAAAUCCAUUGUGAUAUGUUCGCACUUCCACUCUAAAAUUGGUAGUGGCUGAAGUAGUCAACCUGAGCGUGAUGCUCUGCCUUGACUUGCUAACAUACCAAACACUUGGAAACAAAGUCAGCCACAUCCCUUUUCAUCCCGUUCUACCAAAAUCGAAGUCGCAUACUUUGAUAUAUCUUAGUGCUUUUGAGAUGUAUGGCAAACUUUGAGCUAUAGGCCUCAGUCAUGAUGUCUCUUUUCAGCUCACUGUCACAUGAAACACACACCCUAUCCUGAAAUCUAAGCAACCCAUCGGCAAAUACUCAAAAUUCUGAAUUAACUCCCUAUUUUGCAUCUUUCUUGAGGGCUACUAGGGUGGAAUCGGCGGAUUGAGCUUCCUUUAUUCUCUGGAUCAACUCAGGUUGAAUAGUCAGGUGGGGCAAGCAUGUGACUCUCUUCAGGUCCUA